UUUUCAGUCUAACAGCAGCAUUUGAUUGGAAGUAAGAGCCACUGUUUUCUACAGGACUUACUUACAAAGAAAACUGACGAUGUCGGAGAGGAGAGAGGAAUAUUAACUCUAUGGACUUUUAUCAUUUGAAACAUCACUGAUGCUGGCUCCAACCCACAAGCUUGAGAUGAAAAUGGGAAAAUAUGCAGCCAAGCAACCUAAGAGUAUGAAUGAAAAUGUAAAAGUCAUUAACGUGGAAGAACAUACAAACUGGGAGAUGUUGUUGCAGCUUGCUUGAGCUUAUUGGGACUGGUAAUAUUGCUUCUUAAUGGAGUUGUUCCUUAAACACAGUGGAUUACGAUGUAUUAUUUGAUGUUAAGUACUGAUAGUAUUCAUCUAUGU